rnacentral:misc_RNA from 1 species
UCUCCGUAGGUGAACCUGCGGAGGGCUCAUUACUGAGCGAGGGUCUAACCGCCCGACCUCCAACCCUUUGUGAAUCGUACUCGUUGCUUCGGGGGCGACCCUGCCGUUUCGACGGCGAGCGCCCCCGGAGGCCUUCAAACACUGCAGCUUUGCGUCGGAGUUUAAGUAAAUUAAACAAAACUUUCAACAACGGAUCUCUUGGUUCUGGCAUCGAUGAAGAACUCAGC